rnacentral:rRNA from 1 species
UAGAGAGAAAGACUUUUAGCAAUACCUGCCCAGUGCGAAAUAUUACUGUAAACGGCCGCCCUAGCGUGAGGGUGCUAAGGUAGCGAAAUUCCUUGCCUUUUGAUUGUAGGCCUGCAUGAAUGGUUUAACGAGGGUUUAACUGUCUCUAAAUUUUUUAUUGAAAUUGUACUGAAGGUGAAGAUACCUUCAUUUAAAAGUUAGACAAAAAGACCCCGUGCAACUUUGAAAAUUAACUUUAUUCAGAAGUAAAAGAUUUUUAGGUGGGGCGCCUAGAAAGUAAGUCUAACCUUUCUGAAUAAUUAGUUCUUUCCGGAUUCGACCCGAUUAUAUUCGAUCAUAGGAGAAGUUACGCCGGGGAUAACAGGCUAAUCCUUUAGUAGAGCUCGUAUUGGCUAAAGGGAUUGGCACCUCGAUGUUGAAUCAGGGAUGAUAGCUUCAAGGCGUAGAGGCUUUGAGAGUAGGUCUGUUCGACCUUUAAUACCCUACGUGAUCUGAGUCANNACCGG